AACCAGACUGCCUUGCACGUCGGCUCCGGCGACGAGGUGCGGUGUGAUACCCGCAUACCGGUCCAUUAGCUCAAACGAGACAGGAAUCCGCGACAAUCCCAACAGUGAGGCAUUCAAAGAGCCGUGACACUCUCCCCUGUGGCCAGUCGAGUGCGAAGAACGUUAAAUUCGCGAGGGGCGCUGGGUGGCUUCGCAUAGUCAAGGACAAAGCUCGAAAGUUUUUCGUCCACGUGACAGUUGAUCGAUACACAGACUGGCCAAAAGUAGCAAACGAGCUAACUGCUCGAAUAACGAUUAAAGUACAAUAAAUCGAGCAGUGAUUCUGCAAGAAAGACGCUCUCAUGUAUAAUACAUGUAAUAAUUUUUAAGUGAUUAGGAAUGUUGUCAAUUUUAUGCAUUUAUGAGAAACUUGAAGGUAGUUUCAAAUAAAGAUCAAAAAAUUAUUUUAAAUAAUGAUAAAAAUAAAAAUGUAGAAAAUACAGAUAAUACACAGAAAACAUGAAAAAUAUCCAAAAUAGAAUAAAACUAUUUUCUACCUAAGUUCCAUUAUUUUACUUGCAUUUACCAAAAUAUGACUGCAUAAAUAUCC
rnacentral:misc_RNA from 1 species